rnacentral:ncRNA from 2 species
UGUUCGUGAUAAGCCCGCGGUGCAGGGAAGCCGGUGUGAAUCCGGCGCGGUCCCGCCACUGUGACCGGGAAGUGCGUUCUCCAGCAGUACAGGCCACUGACGGAAUCCAUCCGUCGGGAAGGCCGGAGAGCGUGCGUUGAUCCGGGAGUCAGGAUACCGGCCGUGGGGUGUUCCGUGUU